AGUGAACGCUGGCGGUAGGCCUAACACAUGCAAGUCGAACGGCAGCACAGUAAGAGCUUGCUCUUACGGGUGGCGAGUGGCGGACGAGUGAGGAAUACAUCGGAAUCUACUUUUUCGUGGGGGAUAACGUAGGGAAACUUACGCUAAUACCGCAUACGACCUACGGGUGAAAGCAGGGGAUCUUCGGACCUUGCGCGAUUGAAUGAGCCGAUGUCGGAUUAGCUAGUUGGCGGGGUAAAGGCCCACCAAGGCGACGAUCCGUAGCUGGUCUGAGAGGAUGAUCAGCCACACUGGAACUGAGACGCGGUCCAGACUCCUACGGGAGGCAGCAGUGGGGAAUAUUGGACAAUGGGCGCAAGCCUGAUCCAGCCAUACCGCGUGGGUGAAGAAGACCUUCGGGUUGUAAAGCCCUUUUGUUGGGAAAGAAAAGCAGCAGGUUAAUACCCCGCUGUUCUGACGGUACCCAAAGAAUAAGCACCGGCUAACUUCGUG
rnacentral:rRNA from 1 species